rnacentral:rRNA from 1 species
UACGUAGGGUGCAGGCGUUAAUCGGAAUUACUGGGCGUAAAGCGUGCGCAGGCGGUUUUCUAAGACAGGUGUGAAAUCCCCGGGCUUAACCUGGGAACUGCGCUUGUUACUGGCAGGCUUGAGUGUGGCAGAGGGGGGUGGAAUUCCACGUGUAGCAGUGAAAUGCGUAGAGAUGUGGAGGAACACCGAUGGCGAAGGCAGCCCCCUGGGCUAACACUGACGCUCAUGCACGAAAGCGUGGGGAGCAAACAGG